GCCCCCGUAGCUCAGGGGAUAGAGCACAGGAUUCCUAAUCCUGGAGUCGUACGUUCGAAUCGUAUCGGGGGCACCA
rnacentral:tRNA from 1 species